rnacentral:rRNA from 1 species
UACAGAGGGUGCGAGCGUUAAUCGGAAUUACUGGGCGUAAAGGGUGCGUAGGUGGUUUUGUAAGUUAGAUGUGAAAUCCCUAGGCUCAACCUAGGAACUGCGUCUGAUACUGGAUGGCUUGAAUCCGGGAGAGGGAUGCAGAAUUCCAGGUGUAGCGGUGAAAUGCGUAGAUAUCUGGAGGAAUACCGGUGGCGAAGGCGGCAUCCUGGACCGGCAUUGACGCUGAGGAGCGAAAGCCAGGGGAGCAAACGGG